GUUGAACGCUGGCGGCAGGCCUAACACAUGCAAGUCGAGCGGAUGAAGGGGGCUUGCUCCUGGAUUCAGCGGCGGACGGGUGAGUAAUGCCUAGGAAUCUGCCUGGUAGUGGGGGAUAACGUCCGGAAACGGGCGCUAAUACCGCAUACGUCCUGAGGGAGAAAGUGGGGGAUCUUCGGACCUCACGCUAUCAGAUGAGCCUAGGUCGGAUUAGCUAGUUGGUGGGGUUAAGGGCUAGCAGGGCGACGAUCCGUAACUGGUCUGGGAGGAUGAUCAGUCACACUAGAACGUAGACACGGACCAUGCUCCUGAGGGAGGGAGCAGUGGGGAAUGUUGGGCAGUGGGCGGAAGCCUGGUACAGUCAGGGCGCGUGUGUUGAAGAGGUCCUCCGAUUGGAAAGCCCGUUUAGGUGGGAGGAACGGCAGUCAGUUAAUACCUUGCUGUUUUGACGGUACCAACAGAAUAAGCACCGGCUAACUUCGUG
rnacentral:rRNA from 1 species